GAUGAACGCUAACUACAGGCUCAACACAUGCAAGUCGAGGGGUAACGAGAGGAAAGCUUGCUUUCCUUGUCGACGACCGGCGCACGGGUGAGUAACGCGUAUCCAACCUGCCCCCAACUAGGGAAUAACCUUGCGAAAGUAAGACUAAUACCCUAUAAUUUCCUCAGAUGACAUCUGACGAGGAAUAAAGAUUUCUCGGUUGUGGAUGGGGAUGCGUCUGAUUAGCGUGUUGGCGGGGUAACGGCCAACCAAGGCAACGAUCAGUAGGGGUUCUGAGAGGAAGGUCCCCCACAUUGGAACUGAGACACGGUCCAAACUCCUACGGGAGGCAGCAGUGAGGAAUAUUGGUCAAUGGGCGGAAGCCUGAACCAGCCAAGUAGCGUGCAGGAUGACGGCCCUAUGGGUUGUAAACUGCUUUUAUACAGGAAUAAAGUUAGCCACGUGUGGUUAUUUGUAGGUACUGUAUGAAUAAGGACCGGCUAAUUCCGUGCCAGCCGCCGCCGUAA
rnacentral:rRNA from 1 species